rnacentral:rRNA from 1 species
UCGGGAAUUUUGGGCAAUGGGCGAAAGCCUGACCCAGCAACGCCGCGUGAAGGAUGAAGUAUUUCGGUAUGUAAACUUCGAAAGAAUAGGAAGAAUAAAUGACGGUACUAUUUAUAAGGUCCGGCUAACUACGUGCCAGCAGCCGCGGUAAUACGUAGGGACCAAGCGUUGUUCGGAUUUACUGGGCGUAAAGGGCGCGUAGGCGGCUUGACAAGUCACUUGUGAAAUCUCUGGGCUUAACCCAGAACGGCCAAGUGAAACUGUCAUGCUAGAGUGCAGAAGGGGCAAUCGGAAUUCUUGGUGUAGCGGUGAAAUGCGUAGAUAUCAAGAGGAACACCUGAGGUGAAGACGGGUUGCUGGGCUGACACUGACGCUGAGGCGCGAAAGCCAGGGGAGCAAACGGGAUUAGAUACCCCAGUAGUCCCUGAGCGGGCUGGCAAGGCGCAU